CUCCCACUCUUCCUGAUUUGUGUACUUUUUCCACUCGCGAUCUACAGAAAUAUUGUGGUCUGGUUGUCGACCUGGAAAAAAGAAUUAUCCGGCCCCUUAAGUCUGAACGAUUGUUCGUGGGCCUGGGACGAUGUAUACAAUCGGCCACUUGCUGCAAUUACUGGUGUACUUUGACCACCUCGUGGCUAGAGUGGAGAAAGCGUUUGGAAACCAUUUCAAGUCGACCUGCACCAUCACACGCUGGACGAACGUGUAUUUUUGUAAGAAAUGUGACAAUUUCAACCUUCACAAUCACAUCAAACUAAAUAAAGAAUCAGAUCCCGCCAAACUAGCAGAAUUUUUGAAUUCCCAAAUCUCCAAAAGAUUUCUGGUGGGUCAACCCCUAUGGGAAAUUAUUUCACUGCCGAACUACACCCACGCCAAGUACAGCACGAGUUCCGCCAUCGUGAUCCGCGUCCAUCACACGAUCGAGUGCCGGUCUCUCCUUUAUCUCCACAAUGCGGGAAUUAUGCGACCCGGAUCCCGCCAUGGACGAAAAUAUUGCCCAACUCUUAAAAAGUAUCAGGAAAAAGUUCGAGUUAACCACGUGGCAAAAAAUUUGCUACUUCUUUCAGCUCAUUUUUAUUACUCCGAGGCAACCCGUAUACUACUUUUUGAGGGGAAUAAACUCGCAAAGAAUUUCGCCGCCAGAUUCGCCAAUUUGUCGCAAGCGUGAGCUUGGUGUCCAAAUAACAAGAGCGAGUACGCACAUUGACUUAAAUCUGCUGAAAACUAUUUCAAAAAAGACCGGAUUCAGUGUAACAGCGGUGAUUCAAGCGGGACUGACGGGGGCAUUGAGAGAACUAAUCGUGUCGAGAGGUGGAGAUCCAAGGCGGGAUGUGGUCUCGAUGUACAUCCUACCACGACUUAACCAUCCCGGGACCUUGGCGAGUUCUGCUUCCCGCUCCAAUCCCCGACAUAUUUGGAUGAUAGACUUGAUCGACUAGCCUGGAUUUCUAAAGAGUUUGACCACGUGCUCCACUCCGCUCUCCCGAUCGGCCUGAUGACUACGGCAACUUGCGUCUGCCUACUUUCUCCUCUGGAAAUUGGUCUCGCGAACAGUGGAACUUACACGCAUUCCAAUUUUAAUUGUAAUUUAAACAAUCCGCUCAAAAUGUUUGGCCACGUGGUGGAGACAUUUGACCUUCUCCCGGGAAUUCAGGCCGCGGGAAAUGCAUUGCUCAUCAUCACGUCGUCCUACAAUGGGAAGCUGAUUGACCAAUUAACCGCGGAUAAAUUGUUGUUCCCUGGUGGCACUGAUUUGAAACGAUUUGUACACAAUUUUCUUGAAAAAUUGAACAAGAUGAAGGAAUGUGCUAAAUUUAAAAUGAAUUAAUUUCUUUGCGCACUCUUUAAAAAUAGUGUUACCCUUUUGAAAAGUAAAAACACUCUAAAUCUUAUAGUACACAAACUCACCUAAAUCCAGGGUAACUUGCUUAACAUAAAUUUCGGAGUGCAUCUAAUUUUCAAAAUGAGGUUUAGUAAAGUGUAUACUUAUUUUGAGUGUUUUUAAAUUUUUGGAAUUUUAUGUACGGAACAAAUCAUGGAGGCAAUGGGGCGGCAAACCAUGUUCAGCCUAGAUUAUUUGUUUACCAUGCUAGUUUGAAAGAACAUCUCUUCAGAAUCAAUAUUUCGUACAGCGAUUGCGCAGACGUUGACAAUUUCAGAAAGUUUUCGAAUGCCACACUUUCGCGAAACGAUCCGUUUUCCAGCAGACGAUGUGCCAUGCGAGAGCAGGUGAGCUUUUUUGCAAACUUGUGGCACCCAAAACUUGCUGAAUGUUGCGCAUCUUCGCAAGUGCACAGUAAAUGUUGUUUCUAAACAGUUGUUCGUUCAAACUAACAUGGUCAAAAAUAAAGUUCGAAAAUCGAACUUUGCCGCCAAUAUUUAAAAGGGUCGUUCAACGUAAAGAUAAGUGUCACGUGAGCCUAGCUUUUGACUUGAUUUUAAGAUGGAUUUAACUCACUACACAAUCCGAGUGUAUCGUGAAAAACCGUUCCAUUGUUGGAAGAAGCAGUUUCCAGGGAUUUUAUUAUUUUUAAGACCAUAUUUAUAUUCGUACGUGCAAGAACAUUAUGUAUAUCUUUCCCAAAAACUCUGCUUGUAAAUUUUGCUGCCCGCUUCAGUCCCCGAUCAAUCUGGAUGACCGACUUCUCCGACUCGCCUGGAUUUCGAAACAGUUCGACCACGUGCUCCACUCUGCCCUCCCGAUCGGUCUGAUGGCAUCGUCCACGUGCUUGUGCCUGCUUCUCGCCUUCUUUGGAGUGGCUAUUGCCAUAUCUAACGGUGGAACUUAUGCUCAUCCCAAUGUCAACUUAAAUUUUAGCUCCCCGCUCAAAAUCACAAAAAUGUGAAUUUCUUGAAAAUUUAACCAAAACUCGAUUUUUGGCGAUAAAUUUAGUGCGGCAACUCUGGGGGUUUGGGCGCCUUUGAGGGGGUGUGGCGGGCGUAAAUGGGCUCAUGGAGUCUAACCCUCCUUCACUUUUUCUACACUCAUAUAGUACUACAACAUAUCCAAAGGAGAUCGAAAUCGGGCGCCGACAAGUUUCGACCUUCUACUACUCAGUCUCACUCUCCUUCCUUGACUGCGACACACGAUUUACGAAGGAGUAAAAACCCUUUUGCUACGUCACUAUGACAAAUACUUAUAUGAGUGAGUUUUGCCCUCCUCCCACAAUGAGGCAAAAUUGACAUUGUUCAUGUUAGAAUAAUUUCGCUGUCCUUAACAAAAUCUUUAAGGAUAUUUAUUCAGGAAAACGGGAAUCGUCCUCCUUAAGGAUUGCAUAAUUCUCCUUUAGGAAGCCCAGCAUUAACCAUUUAAGGUUAAAAAAGGUAAUAUCAACCGCUAUUUUUAUAUAAUUUCAU